AACAGGGAUUGCCUCAGUAACGGCGAGUGAAGCGGCAACAGCUCAAAUUUGAAAUCUGGCUCCUUCGGGGUCCGAGUUGUAAUUUGGAGAGGAUGCUUCGGGCGUGGCACCGGUCUAAGUUCCUUGGAACAGGACGUCACAGAGGGUGAGAAUCCCGUAUGUGAUCGGUCGCCUUCGUCCAUGUGAAGCUCCUUCGACGAGUCGAGUUGUUUGGGAAUGCAGCUCAAAAUGGGUGGUAAAUUUCAUCUAAAGCUAAAUAUUGGCCAGAGACCGAUAGCGCACAAGUAGAGUGAUCGAAAGAUGAAAAGCACUUUGGAAAGAGAGUUAAAAAGUACGUGAAAUUGUUGAAAGGGAAGCGCUUGCAACCAGACUUGCUCGCAGUUGCUCAGCCGGUGUUCUCACCGGUGUACUCUUCUGCGGUCAGGCCAGCAUCAGUUUGGGCGACCGGAUAAAGGUCGCGGGAAUGUGGCUCCUCUCGGGGAGUGUUAUAGCCCGCGGCGUAAUGCGGCCAGCCUGGACUGAGGUCCGCGCUUCGGCUAGGAUGCUGGCGUAAUGGUUGUAAGCGACCCGUCUUGAAACACGGACCAAGGAGUCUAACAUCUAUGCGAGUGUUUGGGUGUCAAACCCAUACGCGUAAUGAAAGUGAACGGAGGUGAGAACCCGUACGGGUGCAUCAUCGACCGAUCCUGAUGUCUUCGGAUGGAUUUGAGUAAGAGCAUAGCUGUUGGGACCCGAAAGAUGGUGAACUAUGCCUGAAUAGGGUGAAGCCAGAGGAAACUCUGGUGGAGGCUCGCAGCGGUUCUGACGUGCAAAUCGAUCGUCAAAUUUGGGUAUAGGGGCGAAAGACUAAUCGAACCAUUAACCAAACGCUCUUUCUUUUGCGAAAGGAAGGCUGCUAGGUGGUUAAGAGGCGGCUCAAAGUGCUCGCCUAGUCCCGCUCCCCGGGGCGACAUCGUCAAAUUGCGGGGACGUCCUAAAGGCGCUGCUACCAAACGGGUGCGGAAACGCGACCCGUGGCCGGGGUAAUGACCUAGGGUAUGGUAAAAACGCAGCGCAUGAGCGACCCCUUCUGGGGGCCGUGAAAUGGAUAAUCCGCAGCCAAGUCCUACGUCCUCCGCGGAGGAUAUGGAUGCAGUUCACAGACUAGAUGGCGAUGGGUCCGCCGGCCAGCGCGCCGUGCGGGCUUAAGAUAUAGUCGGUCCGCCCAGAGAUGGGUCUGACAGGAAGAGGUCGUCGAGGGGUGGGAGGUGCCUGGACGAAGGGCGCGUCUCGACGACGGGAGCCUGUCGGGGGACCUGGGGGUCUUUUGACCUUCGGG
rnacentral:rRNA from 1 species